AGUGAACGCUGGCGGUAGGCCUAACACAUGCAAGUCGAACGGCAGCACAGUAAGAGCUUGCUCUUACGGGUGGCGAGUGGCGGACGGGUGAGGAAUACAUCGGAAUCUACUUUUUCGUGGGGGAUAACGUAGGGAAACUUACGCUAAUACCGCAUACGACCUACGGGUGAAAGCAGGGGAUCUUCGGACCUUGCGCGAUUGAAUGAGCCGAUGUCGGAUUAGCUAGUUGGCGGGGUAAAGGCCCACCAAGGCGACGAUCCGUAGCUGGUCUGAGAGGAUGAUCAGCCACACUGGAACUGAGACACGGUCCAGACUCCUACGGGAGGCAGCAGUCGGGAAUAUUGGACAAUGGGCGCAAGCCUGAUCCAGCCAUACUGCGUGGGUGAAGAAGACCUUCGGGUUGUAAAGCCCUUUUGUUGGGAAAGAAAAGCAGCAGGUUAAUACGCCGCUGUUCUGACGGUACCCAAAAAAUAAGCACCGGCUAACUUCGUG
rnacentral:rRNA from 1 species